GACCUGAGCGGAAAUCAAGACUCAGAUGCUUAACCUCAGACGCUUAACUGACUGUGUCACCCAGGAACCCAGAUUUAUUUUCCUCUUAAGACAAACUUGAAUAUCUAUUGGAGAAACAUAUACAGCAGAGGAAUCCUUUACAUUAAAGACAAAUUCUCAGAGAAGCACAAAGAAUGAUGAUGGGUCCUCUGAAGAAUGCAAUGGAGCAAAAGGAAGGAACUGUUUGUCCCCAACUGACUGUUUUCUGCAUGAUGUUGGAAGAGGAAGUGAGAGACUCAAGGCACAAGAAAAAUUAACUUCACUAUUGCUGGGUCAAAGAUGGAUGAAUUCAUGUGGCAAGAAAUUAGAGUAGGAUCGGAGAGCACCUCUAGGAUCUGAGAGCACCCCUAGCUGACAGCCAUCAAGGAAAUUGGGACUGUAGUCCAAUACUCACGAGGAACAAGAAUAAUCUUGGAAGCAGAUUUGCCCCAGAAUCUCCAAAGACCUCAAUCCAACCUACAUGGACACCUUGAUUCCAGCCUUGUGAACUCCUGAGGAGAGAACAUGAUCAUGCUGUGCUAGACUUCUGACCUACAGGCUUAUGAGCUAAUACAUGGGUAUAGCUUUCAGCCAUGAAGUUUGGGUGUAGAUGGUAACUAGAGAAAAUGCAUUACCAUGAUAACAGUUUUUAUAGUGCAUGGUGGGGUUGAAGGUUAUGAAUAUAUUCACACUAGCAUUUUGAUGUACUUUCUACAUUUCUAAAUGGAUUAUGGGUUACUUGCUAAUUAGAAAUAAAGCCCUUAGAAUUUAUUCAUGUAAAAUAUGUUAUAUUUCAGACUUUAAAAAAGUUAUAGUAAAUACUACAAUAGGCAAACAUGUAUAUAACCAAAGUUAUGAAGUAAAACAUUACAGAAAGUA